rnacentral:rRNA from 1 species
CCUACGGGUGGCAGCAGUGAGGAAUAUUGGUCAAUGGACGAGAGUCUGAACCAGCCAAGUAGUGUGAAGGAUGACUGCCCUAUGGGUUGUAAACUUCUUUUAUAAAGGAAUAAAACGAGGCACGUGUGCCUUUUUGCAUGUACUUUAUGAAUAAGGAUCGGCUAACUCCGUGCCAGCAGCCGCGGUAAUACGGAGGAUCCGAGCGUUAUCCGGAUUUAUUGGGUUUAAAGGGAGCGUAGAUGGGUUGUUAAGUCAGUUGUGAAAUUUUGCGGCUCAACCGUAAAAUUGCAAUUGAUACUGGCAGUCUUGAGUACAGUUGAGGUAAGCGGAAUUCGUGGUGUAGCGGUGAAAUGCUUAGAUAUCACGAAGAACCCCGAUUGCGAAGGCAGCUUACUAAACUGUGACUGACAUUGAUGCUCGAAAGUGUGGGUAUCAAACAGGAUUAGAUACCCUGGUAGUC